UUUUUUUUUUUCUGUUACAGAAAAGAAGAUUUUUUUUUUGAGAGAGAGAAGUUACAGGAAAGAAGAUGGGUUUGAAAUGGUGGGGGUGGGCUGGGCUAGACGGCAUGGUGAUGGGAUUUCUUGGGCUUUGGCUCAGCUCACGUUUUCUGUUGGGCAGGAGGAGAUGCGGAAUAACUUCUCGAGAUAUCAGCCCAUAGUUUAUGGUCGGAUGGAUCAGGGCCCAGAGUAGUUACCAACUUUCCAUGGCCUAAAGGCUAAAUAUACAACCCCUUCAAUACUAUUCCAUUUCUCCAUCUCCUGAGAAAAGAAAAAUUCUCCAUCUCCUUUUGCGUCUCUUGCUAUUUUCCUCCUCGCAUCCCUCUUUUUUUUUUAAUAAAGUUUCAUCAGAAGUAUAAAUUAUCUUAAACAUAAUAAAAAAUUACAUCGAGGUCCAUGGACCACUGAAUGUCCACUGCCGCCGCCGGAAUGAGUCGUGUCUUGUUAGAUGCUCAACUUUUUAUUUGUAAUAAAACUCCAUGAUAUAUAUAACUGUAGAAUUUCAAGAUCAUCCGUUAAGAAUUGUUCUACUGUUUGCUUAAAAUAGUAUACCGCAAUAAUUCAGGGGAAGCGUGCUGAAAGUACAAGAACUGAACAAGUUCAAAAAGAAACGAGGGAUUUACUAUACGGGAUUAAAAAAUCUCACUCGACUGAGAUUUAGCCAAGUCUCGGUCAAUGUUAUAUUUGUGAGAUGUUACAUGGAGAUUUGUAUACAAUUUUUUUUCUUUUUUCUUUCUCGGUGUGUCUAGGUCUCAAUCGACUGAGACUUAACCAAGUCUCAACCAAGUGAUGUAGUAUAUAAGAAGAAAAAAGAAAAAUUGAAAAGAAACUUUUUAUACGAAUCUCGAUGCAAGAUCAAAGGAAUAUAGUAUCGACUGAGACAUAACUAAGUCUGACUGGGACGUAGCAAAACUGUUUCUUUUAUAUGUUAUGUCACUGAGACUUGGUUAAGACUCAGUCGACUAAGAUGUAGCCACACCUUUUAUUAUACAGCUAAAUUUUCCAUGCCUUUACGUGUAAAUUGCAGAGAAGAACAUGUGUAUCCAUAUACAUGACGACGAAGCCGGGCUGGAACUACACGUUUUUUCUUUUGGCGACGUCAACGCGUACAACCGAAGAAUUAAUCGGGACAACGAUGAACACAAAAGCAGAGACAACUUUUCGCAAGAUGACAUGCUGCCGGCCAUGCGGAAUCAAUUGCUACCAUGCAAUGCAUGACGCUCCAUAUGUGUAGCAUAACAGCAAAAAAGACGAAACAACAUUAACUCGAUCGAUCGCGAGUUGCAAUCUAGUACUGUGUUAUUGUGUGCGUACGCUUAGGGCCGGUUUCAUGGGCACCCAUACGUGCACCUAUCCCUUGAAGCCGACCUGUGCUACAGCUCCAGCGCACAUGCUUACGUGAAGGAGCACGCACGCGGGAGAAGCAAAACGAGCGCCUGAUCAGCUUGCAUUUCCGCGUGAAAGGAAAGCGAGACUACGCUAUGUUUUGCAUGCUAUGCUAUGCUAUGCGGCUCAUGAAAUAUAAGUAUAACUUCAGAGUGUAUGCAUGUAUAUACUACAUGUCACGUUGUCGCUGUACAAGUACCAUGCGCUUAGGCUGCCUAGCUGCUACGACCUGGUCGAUUCGGCCGAUCGAUAUCCUUAUAUGCGACGCCUUGCGUACUGUGCUAGCUCAUGCAGCGCGUCGUACGUGCUUGAAUAUGAUCGGUGGAUGCUCCAUUUAAUCGGGAGAUCGAUCGAAUAAUAUUGCAUGGUACGAUUCAAAACCGUGCACGCGUCCCGUCCCAUAUGUGCAGAGUGCGCACAUUGCAGUGUUACGAUCUAGUAUCCCCUAGCUAGCUAGCUAGUACGACAGCUUAGCUAGGACACUCCUAGUACGAUCGAUCUACCCCCUAGAUCUGUUGAGAUGGAGGAGGAGUACUUAAUACUACAUCUUGGUCCUUAAUAAUCUCUUGAUAAUCAUGCCAUGCCCGUACCCGUACGCUCAUGCGGUCGACAUCGACUCCUUGCAGGAUCUCUCAGCUAGCUGCCCUGACCAUGAACGAGAACGACCACUGCUAGCUACUGUGUGAAAGAUCGAAGCAGGAAUGAAUUGCGUUGCUGCAGAACAUUCUUCUUAUUUUCACACCUCCGAUCGCGCGCUGGCGUUUGCGUCGGCAGGCCUAAUGGCCUGAGCAUGCAGUGACCACAACGGCGGCCCUUUCAGGUCAGCGUCGGGAUCGGUCCAUCAAGCAGGGCAUAUAUAUUGCAUUAACUCGAUCGAUCGAUUUCGCGAUAGGCGAGAAAAACGUAGCCCUUCCGACAUCUCUCCCUGUCAAUCUACUCUCUAGCUACAACCUACGUACGUACGUUCGUACACUACACACAAGUGGUACGACAUUCGUAUCGAUCGAUCAUGCAUGCAUCUCGAUCGACCGGAGAUAAAGAUUAAUCAACUCGACCGCAUGCAGUUAACUUGGAGUAAGAUCAAGUACUCCCUCUCUCUCAGUUUACAGGGCGUGCGCGUACCCCUAGGUCGUCAAUUUGACCAACCUAAUACAAGUCUAUAUUACAAAAAAUAUAUCAAUAUAAACUUCAGAUGUUCUAUUUUUAAACGGUAUAAUUUUUGUGUUAUAUAGUUUAUAUUAUGGUGAUAACAUUGACAACCUAGGUAUACGCGCAGGGCUUGUAAACUGAGACGGAGGGAGUAGCAUCUGCAUGCAGACGUAGAAGUGAAGGAUCGACGGGAGAAGACAAGCCGAUCAAGCAUUGGGGCUAACCAACUCCUGUUGCGUGCAUCUCGCCAGGGCCCUGCCUGAGUGAACUUGAAUUCAGGGCGAGUUAGGGCAGGCAAGCCGAUCAAUCUUGUCCAGCGAGGGGUCUAAUUCCCCACAUGCUCCCCAUUACUCCCCAUCACCAAUGAGUUAAUCUCUGCACAUGCCCUUGUCCGGACGGUGCAUGCCAAGGGAUAAACACAGCAAUGAAUAAUGAUAAUAAUACGUUACGUACGCACUCAUAUGUCUUGCAGCGAAAAAUAGCUGUGUGUGCCCCGAAUAUAUAUUCUGAUGCCACGACACAGUGUACGUACGUGCAAUGCCAGCGUGUACGUACCUUCAUUCUUGCCAUUUGCAGCCUUAAUGCAUGCAUGCCCUACAAGUUAGUUACUCCAGUAUAUGCCGAUUAAGCAAGUAUGGCUUAUACUGAAGUUCCAUGGCACUGUGGUACGGCUAGAAUUAGGUGUUGCAGCCUUGGUUCUGCACAUGCCCUUGUCCAUCCUCGUGCUCUCUCUCUCUCUCCUGGCUAGCUCCAUCUUUACUUUACAGCUGGGUGAGGAGUACAGAGAGGGCAAGGAGCUACAGGAGGAGUGAAAAUUGACAAAUCUAACCCUUUCUAAAACUUUGACACAAAAUGAACCCGAUCUUCUUUUCACAAAAUGACCCGUUUUUGCAUGACGCCCGAGGCUGGGCCUGGGGCGUCAUGCAAAUGGACCAUUUAGUGGAUUUUUUUCUAGGCCGGAUCCAUUUUAAUUUAUGCUAAAGUUUUAGAAAAGAGCCAGAUUUGUCCAUUUCCACACAGGAAGAGAAGGGCAGCAUGCAUGGAGGUGGAGGUGGAGGUGGAGCUGAUGAUCUCCAUCUAGGCUACUAGCCUAGCUUGCCAAUAAGUCCCCUCACAUGUGCAGUGGCGGAGGGCACGCAUUUACGCCCUUGUUUUCCUUUUCGCUCGGGCAUUCAAUUCGAUCGCACACUCUGAGUUCCGCUGCUACUUUUUGUUUAUCAUCUCCCUGCCUGCCUAGGCAGCUGCCCUGCCCCGCCCUCUAUCUCGAUCUUCCUCCCUUCAUGCAUGCACCUACUCAUCGACCGAUCCUUCUCUGACCAUGACGCAUCACGGGUCAAAUUUUGUCUACCUCUAAACAAAUAAUAGUACGAGAGUCAAAUUUUCUUCAGUAAACUAUUGCCACUGUUGGACCAUGUGCUCCUUCUCCAUGCAAACUAUACUAUGUACGUACACUGAAACUCUAGAGUGUACUCGAAGUCGCUUCCUCUCGGUAUAGUAUAAAUGUAGUACGUAUAAUGGAGGGGCAUUAAUCAGUUUACUGCCCAGGCAAGGCAAUGGCGUUCACAUGCAUGCCCUGCCAAGUCCACAGACUGAAGAACUCUUUGAUCAACCUUUUGGUGUGAGGUCAUGGCUUGCAUAUGAGUGAGAUAAGAGGGCCAGUUUUAAUUAAUUUAUACCAGUAAAGUAAGCGGGAAAGUAUUUUUAUUACUAGGGUGGCGUGGUGCAUGCAGAGAUGCAGCAGUGCCCUUGCAUGCAUCGCAGCCAGGAGGGGAAGAAAAGGAAAAGGUCAAUGCAGCGACGAGAGGACUUUACUGCUCCUGGACGCACGGGCAUUUAACGCCGCUCCCUCACCGGCCGUGCGUUUCCAAGGCGUGGCAGCGCGCAGGAUGCCAUUUGCAGUACUAGGAGUUUCUUUGCUCUUUCGUUAACUGAAACCUUUACCAAUUCGACAGGUAUACAUUUUUUUAAAACGAAGGCAAAAGAUUUACCUCAACCAUAGGACUGAGGUCAAUUUCGAUCACUGGAGCGAGGCCAGGGCCUUGGUCACCGAAUGGUGCUUGAAUUGAUUUGUGCUUCUACCGCGGGUCAAAGCUCCGGUUGCCAAAUCCCUAUUUCUUUUUAAACUUCUUUCACCGAAUGGAUCUGGAAUUUAUAGAGGUCUGUCCCUCUAUAACUGGGAGCUCGGUUCCUAAUCGCUUACCACUUGGCAACCACUCUUUUUUUAACUCCUCCGAAAAAGGGAUUGCCCGGCCUCUGCAUCACAUGACAGCCAUUUAUUAAACAUGAAAUACGUUUAAGUCACGAGUGCUCGACAGUAAAAACAAAUAAACGGAAAACAUGACCGUAAGCGGUCAAAUCCAAGAUUAAAUAGCUCAUCCAUGUAAUUUACAAAUAGCUCGCCAGCCAAACUGUUUGAACAAACCCUGCGCAACUGUUUCCAACCAGCUGCACCCAGAGGCCAUAAGCAUCCGCGCGUCCACACGCUGCAGUGAUGACCACAUACGAAUUAAAGUUGUAGCUCUAUUGAUAACAUGCAAGAAAUUUAGAGAAGAUGAUCUUUUAAAGACGUAAUGAUUCUGGCAAUUCCAUAUUGCCCAGAGAAUAACACAAACUCGCACACGGAUUUGGCCCUUCAACUUAUGAUGAAGACCACCUAACCAAUUUUCAAACAAAUUUGAAAUACUCGUUGGUGGUGCUAAAUUGUAUGUAACAUGAACCGCGUGCGCUAGAUCAAUGUAGUAAAUGGACAUGACAAAAAUAAAUGACGAUUUGUCUCCUCCCGAUCACAAUAAAAACAUUUAUUGUUGCCUUGCCACUUAAGUUUAGCAAGGUUAUCUUUGGUAAGAAUUACACCCUCUGAAAAAACCACAUGAAAACUUUGAUCAUGAAAGGAACCUUUGUUUUCCAAAUGUGUUUUGUACAAAAAUAGGUCCAGAAUCCAUAAGAUCAGCAUACAUAGACUUCAUAGUGAGGACACCAUUAGUGGUUAACCUCCACUCAAAUGAAUCUGACAUCUGAGUUGGAUUAAUUGAUAUCGAUCAAUCUAGGAACCAAAUGGAUCCACUUAGUCUAUUUGUCGCCCAGUAAUGCCCUGUGAAAUUGGAUAUUCAAAGGGCUAUCCCCAAGAACAGAGGCCACAAUCCUCUUUUCUGAACACAAUAUCAUACAAGGUUGACAAUUGUAGAGCUAAUGGAGUGUCACUAGGUAUCUUCCCAAAAACUCGUCGAUUGGCCUUCACCAAUCUUAAAGGUGAGGGAAAUAUGCCCUAGAGGCAAUAAUAAAGUUAUUAUUUAUUUCCUUAUUUCAUGAUAAAUGUUUAUUAUUCAUGCUAGAAUUGUAUUAACCGGAAACAUAAUACAUGUGUGAAUAUAUAGACAAACAUAGUGUCACUAGUAUGCCUCUACUUAACUAGCUCGUUAAUCAAAGAUGGUUAAGUUUCCUAACCAUAGACAUGAGUUGUCAUUUGAUUAACGGGAUCACAUCAUUAGGAGAAUGAUGUGAUUGACUUGACCCAUUCCGUUAGCUUAGCACUUGAUCGUUUAGUAUGUUCCUAUUGCUUUCUUCAUGACUUAUACAUGUUCCUAUGACUAUGAGAUUAUGCAACUCCCGUUUACCGGAGGAACACUUUGUGUGCUACCAAACGUCACAACGUAACUGGCUGAUUAUAAAGGUGCUCUACAGGUGUCUCCGAAGGUACUUGUUGAGUUGGCGUAUUUCGAGAUUAGGAUUUGUCACUCCGAUUGUCGGAGAGGUAUCUCUGGGCCCACUCGGUAAUACACAUCACUAUAAGCCUUGCAAGCAUUGUAACUAAUGAGUUAGUUGCGGGAUGAUGUAUUACGGAACGAGUAAAGAGACUUGCGGGUAACGAGAUUGAACUGGUAUUGAGAUACCGACGAUCGAAUCUCGGGCAAGUAACAUACCGAUGACAAAGGGAACAACGUAUGUUGUUAUGCGGUUUGACCGAUUAAAGAUCUUCGUAGAAUAUGUAGGAGCCAAUAUGAGCAUCCAGGUUCCGUUAUUGGUUAUUGGCCGGAGACGUGUCUCGGUCAUGUCUACAUAGUUCUCGAACCCGUAGGGUCCGCACGCUUAACGUUCGGUGACGAUUUGUAUUAUGAGUUUAUGUGUUUUGAUGUACCGAAGGUAGUUCGGAGUCCUGGAUGAGAUCGGGGACAUGACGAGGAGUCUCGAAAUGGUCGAGACGUAAAGAUCGAUAUAUUGGACGACUAUAUUCGGACAUCGGAAAGGUUGCGAGUGAUUCGGGUAUUUUUCGGAGUACCGGAGAGUUACGGGAAUUCGCCGGGGAGUAUAUGGGCCUUAUUGGGCUUUAGGGGAAAGAGAGAGGAGAGGCUGCGUGCCCCCCCAAGGCCUAGUCCGAAUUGGACUAGGGAGAGGGGCUGCGCCCCCUCUUUCCUUCUCUUCUCUUUUCCCUUUCCUUAUCUCCUACUCCUACUACUUGGAAGGGCUCCUAGUUCUACUAGGAAAGGGGGAAUCCUACUCCCGGUGGGAGUAGGACUUCCCUAGGGCGCGCCAUAGAGAGGGCCGGCCCCUCCCCUCCUCCACUCCUUUAUAUACGUGGCCAGGGGGCACCCCAUAGACACACAAGUUGAUCUGUUGAUCUCUCCCAGCCGUGUGUGGUGCCCCCCUCCACCAUAUUCCACCUCGGUCAUAUCGUAGCGGUGCUUAGGCGAAGCCCUGCGUCGGUAGCAACAUCAUCACUGUCAUCACGCCGUCGUGCUGACGGAACUCUCCCGUGAAGCUCUGCUGGAUCGUAGUUCGCGGGACGUCAUCGAGCUGAACGUGUGCUGAACUCGGAGGUGCCGUACGUUCGGUACUUGGAUCGGUCGGAUCGUGAAGACGUACGACUAUAUCAACCGCGUUGUGCUAACGCUUUCGCUUUCGGUCUACGAGGGUACGUGGACAACACUCUCCCCUCUCAUUGAUAUACAUCACCAUGAUCCUGUGUGUGCGUAGGAAUUUUUUUAAAAUUACUACGUUCCCUAACAAAAUGAGCCUCUCUUAAAAAGGGAUGACUUGACCUUCAUCAAGCCCCUCCAAAACCUUUUUUUAGUUCCUCCAUCUACAGAUUUAAAGACCUUGAUUUUUCUCUCUCAAUAAGCUUUUUUAGGAUACUGAUAACAAGGUUACCCGAUUGGUAACCAAAGUCACUACCCGGUGACCAAACUCUUGUCCUUAGCAACAUUACCUACUCUAUCUAAUGUUUUUCAACCAAAUUGGCCAUAUCAACAGCAAAACAAUAGUUCUACAUCCUAUACAUAUAUGUUCUUUGCAGAUCAUCGCGACAUCACUUGAUUUUUUUGAUAAAGGGUGAAUUUCAUUCACUCAAAAUGAAGCAUUAAGGGGAUACAAACACAAUGAACACACAUUUGGCCUCUGCAUAGUUAGGAUGCACAAAGCCAACACACGCACGCACGCGUGCGCGCGCACACACACAACACACACACCGACAACUAGCAAAGUCAAACAACACCGAAGCCAUGUAAUGGUGUAGCAAAAUGGAAAAAAAAACUUCAAAGCGAUCAAAACAAUGAUCAACAAGCUACAACAACAACCAUACCCGCAUCAACCAUUCUUAGCAUCACAAUAAAAAUGAAGUAUCACUUGAUAACUCACUUAUGAAAUAUUUGGACAUUGAAUACCCCACACAUUGUUGCAGGAACGUUUUGCAAUAUAUUUCAAUGAGAUUUGAUUGUAUGCAACAUGAAUACUUGAAUUAAUAAUAUGAAGAAAAAAAUAAAAAUACAUACGAUUUAUUGUUCUCGAUCAUUUUAUAGUUGUAAAAUUUAUUAAAUAUAAACAGCAUAACAUAAUUGAAUUUCACAUGCAUGUUGCAUGUUAAGGUGGUUUUUUCUAUGCAUGGUUGCAUUGUUGUGGUGGACCUUUUCCCAUGCAUGUUGCAUGCUGAGGUGACAUACUCGCAUGUUGAGAUAAAUAGAUUAGUGGGGGCUAACUAUUUAAAUAUAAAAUUAUUGUGGUGGAGCUUUUCGCAUGCAUGUUGCAUGCUGAGGUGGCAUACUUGCAUGUUGAGACACUCAAUUAUUCAUGCGUUAACUGAAUUCUAACAGUAGUGCAGAACAACCCAUAUGAAAUGAAUUAUCCCGAUUGGUUACAAAUAUCGUCAGCAAAGAAACCUCUUGGAUGGUUUUUUAGGUGCAAUUUGCCAACUAGGCGAUCCUAUUCAAAAUCGAAGAUGAUACAUUGUCUCCUUCGAUUUAACAUAAAACAUGUUUGAGAUGUAUCCGGACGGUUAUUUUCGUGAAACCAUUUAAGAUGCUCAAUUUCGUAGACGCUUUCAGGAUUGUAACCGACAAUGAUGUGUCUGGGAAGUCCUUCUAUUCGGGGAGACAACUUUCCAUUUUGACUCAGUCCAAGAUAAUGGGCAGAUCGACUCUAAGUCAAGUUUGAGAUAAUGCAACUAUAUUCAUACAUCUUUUAAUUUAGGUUUCCGGUCUACCCGCAUAUAGUUUUUGAAACAGAGGCAAAAGCUUUGCCUCAUCUUAUUAAUAAAGAAUAAGAGAGUUGCCCGGUUAAUUAACAGAAAACCGGGCAAAAACUGUUACAACAUGCCCAUACAGGACACACAGGCGACCUGGCCACCCGCACAAGAACGCACCCACGCCGCCGAGAAGAAAAGUAUCGUCGAGGUUGCAACCCGGCGUCAUCGUCAUCACACCUCCACGAGGGCGACUCCGACUCCAUCAUCGACGACCACCGAAGAAGCCCUCACCGCAAACAAGCGUUGAGGCCUGCGCCAGUCGAUGCCAAACAGUCAGCCACACGCGCCGGCGACCAGACAACUCCGAUUCUAUCGCCGAGCAUCCCAGGGGAAAAGCGUUGGGUUUGCGCCGAGCCAGCGCCAGAGCUGACCACCCGUCUCGUGUCAUCGUCACUGCAAGGGCCCCUCUUCAGCAGCUCCGACUUCAGGAAGACAAAGCGGGGCACGGCGACCCCUCGAACACACCGGAAGAGACCGACUACCAAGACCCAUCUGCAAGCCUGCUCCGCUCGAAACUGCCAUCGUUGCCACACAAGAAGCCGCGGCAACACCCACAUUGCCGUACGGGCACCAGCCGACCGCAAUGUCGCGAGCGACCCGAACCUAGUUCCUUUCUGUUCAAACAAGCAUGUACAAGGAGUGACAAUAUACUCUUCACAAUUGCACUACAAUCGAAUAUCAAACGGACUAUCUCGAUCGGUUCCAAAUACCUUCACCAAAGGAACCUCUCUCAAAGUUUUUCUUGGUGGAAAUAGACCGACUAGCCGAUCCUAUACUAUGAGAUGGUACAUUAUUUCUGACGACUUGUGACAAAACUUGUUCGAGAUGUAUCUCGGACGGUUAUUCCUGUGAAACCAUUUGAGAUAAGCUCAGUUUCUUAGACGCUUUUGGAUUUGUAACCGACAACGAUAUGUCUGAGAUAAUUCUCUAUAUUGACUCGUCCGUGAUAACGGAGCACGCGACGAGCCUGUAAUUGUCUCUAAGUGCCGACUAAGCAUGUGCGUGUCUCUGAAGAACGACCGUGCAGAGAGCGCAAUGCUUCAUUGUGACCUAAAUAAAAAGACAUUAAUUAUCACUAGUAAGGUACGCUACCCCCUAAAGGAUGCCAUCGUGCAUGCUUCAACACAAGAGGAACAACAGAGCAAUUACUUUGACCGUAUUCAUAGCCGAACUAGCUAGUGUAGCAGUGCGAUCUUUUCAUGAUGAGCUACCAUCAGAGGCAGCAAGGGGACGCAUUGGAGCUUAACUCUCGUGCGAGAUUCCAUGGCUGAGCCUGUCACAGAUCGCCGUCAUAAAGGGAAGAAAAAUUAGGUCAGGUGUCUUCUUAAUUAGUUUUUAUUUUAGGGUAAUCACGUGUUUCAUUGAUGACAAAUAUGAUGAAUACAACGCACGCACGCGGUACCAAUCAGAAGGGUCGAGAGCAAACAUGUGUCCAAUUUUUUUUUACGAAAAAACCAAAGAAAAGAAAAAUACACAUGAAUCAUUAGUUAAUUCUGCAAUAGCCGUCGUCACCGCUGAAUGUCGCUGGAUUCGAAGGAGAACCAUAGCCCAUGAGGGCGCUGUGAGUCGAUGAAGAAACUUGCCAUCGGCGAAGCCUUUGCCGCUGUGGCGUGUGGACCAGAGAACGUCCCCAUUCCCCUCGAAUACCGAAACCAUCGUCAGCCGUCGACGUUGUCGAGGCUGAGCACCAGAUCCGCUGCCUUCAAUCCACAAGCCCAAAUCUGGAACCACCAUUUUCACUUGCCCACUGGUGACAUCGCGCAUAACGCCAGCCACCAGCCGAACACCUAAAACCGUCGACCAAAAAGAUAGACGGGAGACCGAGCCCACCAGCUCCUCGACGCCCCCAUGGACGCCGUCGAGACGGGACUGGAGCCCGGGCAUUAUUCUUGGAUGCGUCGUUCCUAUUGUAAUUAGUUUUUAUAAGAGCUGGUUGGAAUAUAUAUACGAUGCUACCGAAUAUUUUUUGAAAAAAAAAAUGGUGGGCUCGGUCACAUACAUGUGGGAUCGUAGACUUAAUUUGCAAGUCUAAAUGACAUUUCUUUCCCCUUCCAAGUCCCUUCUUUGUGUAGUUAUAUGUCAGGUAAAUAAAUCAUAUUGUGUACUCUGCGCAAACAGAGCAAGAGUUACAAAAGAGCCUCUUGGGAGCACUUCAAAGGAUUCACAAGUAUGGGAACAGGAAAAAAAAUCGGUUGCCAUGAUCAUGUAUCCAGCAAAUAUUUGAAAACACGAGAAAUAAACAGUAUAUCUACGUUGUUUGGUUGCAACACAUGACAAAUGCAUGCUUUUUCUGUAGGGAUCAGGCGUGCAUGCCAUGGUAAAUUAGUAAUCAUAGAAAUAAAAAUAUCUGAGUGUUUGGACUCGGUGAAAAUUAUCUUGUAACUAAGUGGACAGUGGUGGCCCAUAAGAAAACAAUCCUAAGGUUUAUAAUCCUACAAACCAAACAAUGUUUGUACUGAAUGUUCCAAAGGAUCAAAACCCAAAAUAUCUCUGAAAUUCAUUUGAAUCAAGGAGGUCCCUCAGCAAUAACUUAUAUACAUACACAUAAAUGUAAAACGAUAUGUAAGACGCAUGUUCCAUAUGUAUGUAGUGACACAUCAUAUGGAAUUUACGAGUAAUGUGGUCCUUUCUGUUUUUAAAUCAGAAAUGCUUGUUCUCAAAUGGGCACACAUGUGACCAUGUUGAGCAGUAUUAUAUUGCACUUUGAGAUAUAUAUGACAUUUUUUAUUCAAUAAAUAGGAUACUAAAUUCAUCCACAUAGACAAAUUGAGCAAAUAUUUACCUAAAACCAUAAGAUGACAAGUUCCAUAUAUUUAGAUUGUCAAGUUAGCACCGAAAAUAUAAAUAUGUUAACUAUCGUUGUCCCUAAAAGAAUUCAAUAUAUCAGCUGAAGUAAAGAAAGGAUCCGGUACAACAUGUGAUUUUCAAGCAUUAAAUGGCAUCAAAUAAAUGCAUGACAGUUCUAUGUCUAGUUGAGUCAAAUAUGAAAAGAUUUGAGCACAUAUACUAGCUAGUACCAUUUUAAUGUGGUGGUUCUUCCAGAUGUAAAUUUGGGAACUUCAAGCCUUCCACUCAUUUUGAUAUGUUAAAUAUUGCAGAAAUUACAAACAUGCAUGAUUCACAAAUGAGAUCCCAGUUUAACCCGAACAUUUUUAUUUUGAGGGACUUGGCUUUGCAUUUGGGAACCUCAUGGAAGAACCAAAUAUGUUUAUAUAAUAUUAACCUUAUCUUUACCAAAUUAUCCAAAAUUAAAAUUUCCGAUAACAGGUUCGUUUGAUGCAUCUGAUCUUGAAAACAAGAUAUUGUUAGAAAUCAAUUAAACCUCCACUUAACUGCAUAUGAUCAGUGUCAAUCAAACUUGAAACAAAUACUACAUGAAAACAAGAUACAAAAUGAUUUAUUUCAGCUCGAUGAGAGAAAUGACUAAUGAGGUAAAAUUAAUAUAAAAAGUAUACUUUAAGUAAGUAAUUAUAAAUUAAGCAUCUAUAUAGAUCUUUCUUUUAUAAGAUGUACAUUUCUUUCUUUAUCCCUCCUGCACGAUCCAUUUAGGACAUGAUCAGUUUCAAACCCUAAUUAACAUCGCAAAGAGCAACUAAUUAAAAUCUAAAACGAUUAAGCAAACUGGACGGACUCCCAGCUCGAUCUAAAUCACCGAGGAUUAAUCAGAACUAUAGCCCCCGGCCUUUUGUUGUUUCUGCUCAACUACUCGAUCGGCGAUCACGCCUUUCUUAAAUUUUGUUCUUGCUCUCGUCGAUGAAUUCCCGGU
rnacentral:lncRNA from 1 species